rnacentral:rRNA from 1 species
UACGGGGGGGGCAAGCGUUGUUCGGAAUUACUGGGCGUAAAGGGCUUGUAGGUGGCCAACUAAGUCAGACGUGAAAUCCCUCGGCUUAACCGAGGAACUGCGUCCGAUACUGAAAGGCUUGAAUCCGGGAGAGGGAUGUGGAAUUCCAGGUGUAGCGGUGAAAUGCGUAGAUAUCUGGAGGAACACCGGUGGCGAAGGCGGCAUCCUGGACCGGCAUUGACGCUGAGGCGCGAAAGCUAGGGGAGCAAACGGG